rnacentral:misc_RNA from 1 species
GUGGGAGCGGGCUUGCUCGCGAAUGCGGUGUGUCAGUCAACAAAUCACUAACUGAUACACCGCAUUCGCGAGCAAGCCCGCUCCCAC